rnacentral:rRNA from 1 species
UACGUAGGGUGCAAGCGUUAAUCGGAAUUACUGGGCGUAAAGCGAGCGCAGGCGGUUGUGUAAGACAGAUGUGAAAUCCCCGGGCUUAACCUGGGAACUGCAUUUGUGACUGCACGGCUAGAGUGCGUCAGAGGGGGGUGGAACUCCACGUGUAGCAGUGAAAUGCGUAGAGAUGUGGAAGAACACCGAUGGCGAAGGCAGCCCCCUGGGAUGACACUGACGCUCAUGCUCGAAAGCGUGGGGAGCAAACAGGAUUAGAUACCCUGGUAGUCCACGCCCUAAACGAUGUCUACUAGUUGUCGGGCCUUGAUUGGCUUGGUAACGCAGCUAACGCGUGAAGUAGACCGCCUGGGGAGUACGGUCGCAAGAUUAAA